UACGUAGGGUGCGAGCGUUAAUCGGAAUUACUGGGCGUAAAGUGUGCGCAGGCGGCUCUGCAAGUCGAGUGUGAAAUCCCCGAGCUUAACUUGGGAAUUGCGCUCGAAACUAUGGAGCUGGAGUGUGGCAGAGGAAGGUGGAAUUCCACGUGUAGCGGUGAAAUGACAUAGAGAUGUGGAGGAACACCGAUGGCGAAGGCAGGUCUCUGGGCCACUACUGACGCUGAGAAGCGAAAGCAUGGGGAGCGAACAGG
rnacentral:rRNA from 1 species